GAUGAACGCUGGCGGCGUGCCUAAUACAUGCAAGUCGAGCGAACGGACGAGAAGCUUGCUUCUCUGAUGUUAGCGGCGGACGGGUGAGUAACACGUGGAUAACCUACCUAUAAGACUGGGAUAACUUCGGGAAACCGGAGCUAAUACCGGACGAUAUUUUGAACCGCAUGGUUCAAAAGUGAAAGACGGUCUUGCUGUCACUUAUAGAUGGAUCCGCGCUGCAUUAGCUAGUUGGUAAGGUAACGGCUUACCAAGGCAACGAUGCAUAGCCGACCUGAGAGGGUGAUCGGCCACACUGGAACUGAGACACGGUCCAGACUCCUACGGGAGGCAGCAGUAGGGAAUCUUCCGCAAUGGGCGAAAGCCUGACGGAGCAACGCCGCGUGAGUGAUGAAGGUCUUCGGAUCGUAAAACUCUGUUAUUAGGGAAGAACAUAUGUGUAAGUAACUGUGCACAUCUUGACGGUACCUAAUCAGAAAGCCACGGCUAACUACGU
rnacentral:rRNA from 1 species